rnacentral:rRNA from 1 species
UGCGAUCUCAACUCAUACGUGACUACCCCC